AGUGAACGCUGGCGGUAGGCCUAACACAUGCAAGUCGAACGGCAGCACAGUAAGAGCUUGCUCUUACGGGUGGCGAGUGGCGGACGGGUGAGGAAUACAUCGGAAUCUACUUUUUCGUGGGGGAUAACGUAGGGAAACUUACGCUAAUACCGCAUACGGCCUACGGGUGAAAGCAGGGGAUCUUCGGACCUUGCGCGAUUGAAUGAGCCGAUGUCGGAUUAGCUAGUUGGCGGGGUAAAGGCCCACCAAGGCGACGAUCCGUAGCUGGUCUGAGAGGAUGAUCAGCCACACUGGAACUGAGACACGGUCCAGACUCCUACGGGAGGCAGCAGUGGGGAAUAUUGGACAAUGGGCGCAAGCCUGAUCCAGCCAUACCGCGUGGGUGAAGAAGGCCUUCGGGUUGUAAAGCCCUUUUGUUGGGAAAGAAGAGCAGCAGGUUAAUACCCCGCUGUUCUGACGGUACCCAAAGAAUAAGCACCGGCUAACUUCGCG
rnacentral:rRNA from 1 species